rnacentral:rRNA from 1 species
UAAUUCUAAAACUAAUACAUGUUCACGGGUGCUGANCCCCCUUCCCNNGGGGGGGACGCGUGCAUUUAUCAGAUCAAAACCAACCCGGUCAGCCCCCUCCCGGCUCCGGCCGGGGGUCGGGCGCCGGCGGCUUUGGUGACUCUAGAUAACCUCNGGCCGAUCGCACGCCCUCCGUGGCGGCGACGACCCAUUCGAACGUCUGCCCUAUCAACUUUCGAUGGUAGUCGCCGUGCCUACCAUGGUGACCACGGGUGACGGGGAAUCAGGGUUCGAUUCCGGAGAGGGAGCCUGANAAACGGCUACCACAUCCAAGGAAGGCAGCAGGCGCGCAAAUUACCCACUCCCGACCCGGGGAGGUAGUGACGAAAAAUAACA